ensembl:lncRNA
UGACGCAAGCUGAGCCCUGGUGGUGCAGAAACAGGAGGAGAGGGAGGUGGGGGGCAGCAGAGGUGAGGCGCCUCCGGGAAGGCUGCAGGUGGAUAAAAGCACCGAGGACAGAGAAAGAGGACUCCCGGCCCCGAAGCUCGAAGCUCGUCAGCUCCUGCUGACGAACAGACACACUUUUUCCUUCCACCAACAGAAAGUGAAACUAGGCAAUCCAUGUCGGGCCGGAGAAGGUGGAACUUCCCUGAAACUAAAGGUGUUCGGGCAGCUGCUUGGGAAUAUUCCUUAAAGUCCCUGGCCAGCAGGAGACUAAUCAGACAAUUGGCUCCAGGGAUCCUAGCCGGCAACCCGGAAACUAACAAGGGAGAAAACCGCACAGACAACACAGAGCCCACCAAGAUGCAUUCAGUCCUCUCAAGAUCUACACCAGAUCCAGGUUCUACACCAGCCAGAAGCCUCUCCUGUCCCCAGCUGUUAUCUCCAGCCGUUUGUACCACCAGUGUUUGCCCGUCCCUGCGACAUUUCAUGCCUCUGAGCCUCCGUACGUGCGGUUCCCUCUGCAUCCUGACACCCGGUCUGAAUGCAUCCACUUGGAGAACUCCUACGCAGCCGGUACCGCUCAGCCAUCCUAUCACCCCUCCAGACCCCCAGGUCUCAGAAGCCAGUUUCCUACCGCUCUCAAAUCAAAGCCUCCUUUUCUGUGUGGCCCACGCUCUGGAAAACAGCCUUUUUCAUUGGUGCUCCCGGUGCUCUGUCGCCCCCUUGUGCCGGGUCUUAGACCUGCAUGGAAAAAGUGCCGGGCGAUUCUCUCCACCUGCUCCCCAGAGUGACGCUGAGCCCUUCUCCUCCUGCCCUGGACCUUGGGAGACCGCCCUGUGUCCACUCCAUCCACGGGGGUCCUUCGCCCUCCGCCUUCUGGUUGGGUUCUGCCUACUGGAGGCAAUAGGAAUGCAGGAGGGGAGAGGUGGGAGUAUUUAUUUGGGGGGCCCCUCCCUGCAUCCCUGCCCUUCCGGCAGUGGCCGUGUUCCUCUGCCUAGAGCCUGCCUCGAGUUCUGUGGCCUCCUCUCCAAACCCCAGCUCCCUGCCCUAAGGGUGACAAUGGCUUGAUUCUCACUGUGGCUGGUCCCCUGCUGCCGCCUCAUCCUAUGUGGGUUCCUUCACCGUUCCCACCCCCCCUGAAACGUCCCUUCAUAAAUGCUCCCACCUAAGACCUGAAUGGCUAGUUGUUUCCCACCAGGUGAGCCCAGGAGACAAGGGGACCCUCACUGCCAGUGGCCCCUUAGAAUUUCUUCUUCGGAGGAGCUUGGAAUGACCAAGCUCGUUCUGACGAGAGGGGUCUGCGGGGCUUGUCUUGAAACUGAUAGGACGCGUCCCGGGUUCUUUGUCGGGAGGGGCUACGUGAUACCUCCCUUGAUGCUUUCCCCGACUGUGUCCUUGAAGGAGGAAGAAAGGCAAAUGUCUCUAUUCCUCUGUGCGUUGCUGGUCGCUUGGGCGCUUGGUUGACUCUCUCGCUUUCUGUGUCCCUCAAGAGCCCUGAGAAGAAGUAGGUAAUAUGGCUCAGAGAGGGGAAGUCACUUGUCCAAGGGCACACAGCAAAUGACUAUAAGAAUAGCUACCUUUAAAAAAAAAAAAAAAACCGGAAAGGAGCAAGGAACAAUGUUCUUGAGUGCGGGAAAUGUUCUGUGUCUUGAUUUGGGUGCUUAGUCACACGAGUGUAUCUGUUUGUCACAAUUCAUGGUAUUGUUCCCUUAAGAUCCGGGCAUUUUAUUAUUAUUUUUUAUUUAUUUUUUUAAACAAUUAUUUAUUUUUGAGACAGAGAGGGACAGAGCAUGAGCAGGGGAGGGGCAGAGAGAGAGAGAGGGAGACACAGAAUCUGAAACAGGCUCCAGGCUCUGAGCUGUCAGCACAGAGCCCGACGUGGGGCUUGAACUCACAGGCCGUGAGAUCGUGACCUGAGCCGAAGUCGGACGCUUAACCGACUGAGCCACCCAGGGGCCCCAAGAUCCGGGCACUUUAAUUUUUAUUGAAAAUAAAGAAAGAUGGGGCGCCUCGGUGGCUCGGUCG